rnacentral:tRNA from 1 species
GUCAGGGUAGCUCAGUUGGCAGAGCGAGGGAGUCAUAACCCCUAGGUCGUGGGUUCGAGCCCCACCCCUGGCA